UACGUAGGCAGCAAGCGUUGUUCGGAAUUACUGGGCGUAAAGGGCGCGUAGGCGGCCCGCUAAGUCGAACGUGAAAUCCCCGGGCUCAACCCGGGAACUGCGUCCGAUACUGGCGGGCUUGAAUCCGGGGAGAGGGAUGCGGAAUUCCAGGUGUAGCGGUGAAAUGCGUAGAUAUCUGGAGGAACACCGGUGGCGAAGGCGGCAUCCUGGACCGGCAUUGACGCUGAGGCGCGAAAGCCAGGGGAGCGAACGGG
rnacentral:rRNA from 1 species